AUGCACGCUGGCGGCGUGCCUCAUCCAUGCAAGUCGAGCGAACAGACGAGAGUGCUUGCACUCUCUGACGUUAGCGGCGGACGGGUGAGUAACACGUGGGUAACCUACCUAUAAGACUGGGAUAACUUCGGGAAACCGGAGCUAAUACCGGAUAAUAUUUAGCUUCGCAUGAAGCAAUAGUGAAAGACGGUUCUGCUGUCACUUAUAGAUGGACCCGCGGUGUAUUAGCUAGUUGGUGAGGUAACGGCUCACCAAGGCAACGAUACAUAGCCGACCUGAGAGGGUGAUCGGCCACACUGGGACUGAGACACGGCCCAGACUCCUACGGGAGGCAGCAGUAGGGAAUCUUCCGCAAUGGACGAAAGUCUGACGGAGCAAUGCCGCGUGAGUGAAGAAGGUUUUCGGAUCGUAAAACUCUGUUGUAAGGGAAGAACAAGUACGUUAGUAACUGAACGUACCUUGACGGUACCUUACCAGAAAGCCACGGCUAACUACGUGC
rnacentral:rRNA from 1 species